UUCCAGACUCCUACGGGAGGCAGCAGUGAGGAAUAUUGGUCAAUGGGAGGAAUCCUGAACCAGCCAUGCCGCGUGCAGGACGACGGCUCUACGAGUUGUAAACUGCUUUUGUACCGGGGUAAAAUGCCUUACGAGUAGGGUUUUGAAAGUACGGUACGAAUAAGGAUCGGCUAACUCCGUGCCAGCAGCCGCGGUAAUACGGAGGAUCCAAGCGUUAUCCGGAUUUAUUGGGUUUAAAGGGUGCGUAGGCGGAUUGAUAAGUUAGAGGUGAAAUGUCCGGGCUCAACUCGGGAACUGCCUCUAAUACUGUUGAUCUAGAGAGUAGAUGCGGUAGGCGGAAUGUAUGGUGUAGCGGUGAAAUGCUUAGAGAUCAUACAGAACACCGAUUGCGAAGGCAGCUUACCAAUCUAUAUCUGACGUUGAGGCACGAAAGCGUGGGGAGCAAACAGGAUUAGAUACCCUAGUA
rnacentral:rRNA from 1 species